rnacentral:rRNA from 1 species
GUAGGGUCCGAGCGUUGUCCGGAAUUAUUGGGCGUAAAGGGCUCGUAGGCGGUUUGUCGCGUCGGGAGUGAAAUCUUACAGCUUAACUGUGAACUUGCUUUCGAUACGGGCAGACUUGAGGCAUUCAGGGGAGAACGGAAUUCCUGGUGUAGCGGUGAAAUGCGCAGAUAUCAGGAGGAACACCGGUGGCGAGGGCGGUUCUCUGGGAAUGUACUGACGCUGAGGAGCGAAAGUGUGGGGAGCGAACAGGAUUAGAUACCCUGGUAGUCCACACCGUAAACGUUGGGCGCUAGGUGUGGGGCCUAUUCCAUGGGUUCCGUGCCGCAGCUAACGCAUUAAGCGCCCCGCCUGGGGAGUACGGCCGCAAGGCUA